GACGAACGCUGGCGGCGUGCUUAACACAUGCAAGUCGAACGGAAAGGCCCUGCUUGCCGGGUGCUCGAGUGGCGAACGGGUGAGUAACACGUGGGUGAUCUGCCCCUUACUUUGGGAUAAGCCUGGGAAACUGGGUCUAAUACUGGAUAGGACCAUGCUGUAGGUGGUGUGGUGGAAAGAUUUUUUCGGUAAGGGAUGAGCUCGCGGCCUAUCAGCUUGUUGGUGGGGUAAUGGCCUACCAAGGCGUCGACGGGUAGCCGGCCUGAGAGGGUGGACGGCCACAGUGGGACUGAGAUACGGCCCAGACUCCUACGGGAGGCAGCAGUGGGGAAUAUUGCACAAUGGGCGCAAGCCUGAUGCAGCGACGCCGCGUGGGGGAUGACGGCCUUCGGGUUGUAAACUCCUUUCAGCCAUGACGAAGCCUCUUUUGGGGUGACGGUAGUGGUAGAAGAAGCACCGGCUAACUACGUG
rnacentral:rRNA from 1 species